rnacentral:lncRNA from 1 species
UCAUUUUCAACUUACCAAGUCACCAAAAAUAAACACCUUCAAAACAAAAAGUCACCUUUAGAUUCCACAAACUUAACCAUUUUCAUCGUACCAAGUCACCAAACAUAACCACUUUCAAAACUAAAAAAUACCUUUAAAAUUCCUACACUUAACCAUUUUCAGCCUACCAAGACACCAAACAUAACCACUUUCAAAAUUAAAUAUCACAUUUAAAGUCUCUACACUGACUCAUUUUCAACCUACCAAGUUACCAAACAUAACCACAUUCAAAACAAAAAAAUACUUUUAAGGUGCCUACACUUAACCAUUUUCAACCUACCAAGUCACCAAGCAUAACCACUUUCAAAACAAAAAAUCACGUUUAAAGUCCCUACACUGAACUCUUUUUAACCUACAAUGUCACCAAACAUUAUCACUAACAUAACAAAAAAACACCUUUAAAAUCCUUGCACUUAAUCAUUUUCAACCUACCAAUUCAAAUUUAAAGUCCCAACACUUAACCAUUUUUAAUCUACAAAGUCACCAAACAAAACCACUUUUAAAACAAAAAAUCACCCUUAAAGUUCCUAAACUUAACCAUUUUCAACCUACAAAUUCACCAAAAAUAAAUACCUUCAAAAGAUAAAUUCACCUUUAAAGUCCGUACACUUAACCAUUUUCAUCGUACCAAGUCACCAAACAUAACCACUUUAAAAACCAAAAAACACCUUUAAAGUUCCUACACUUAACCAUUUUUAGCCUACCAAGACACCAAAUAUAACCACUAUAAAAACUAAAAAUCACAUUUAAAGUCCGUACAUUUAACCAUUUCAACCUACCAAGUCACCAAAUAUAACCACAUUUAAAACAAAAAAACACCAUUUAAAGUCCCAACACUUACAAUUUUCAACAUACCAAGUCACCAAACCUAACCACAUUCAAAAUAAAAAAUACUUUUAUAGGCCAUACACCUAACCAUUUUCUACGUACCAAGUAAACAAACAUAACCACUUUGAACACAAAAAAACACCUUUAAAGUCCCUACACUUAACCAUUUUCAACAUACCAAGUCACCAAACAUAGCCACUUUCUAAACAAAAAUUCAACUUAAACGUCCCUACAUUUAAUCAUUUUCAACCUAACAAUUCACCAAACAUAACCACUUCCAAAAAAAAAAUUAACCUUUAA